ACUCGUCAGUCGGUACCCAACGAACGAUACCAACACCAAAACGUUCUUUGAACCUUGAACCCAUUGAACCAGACGACCCAGAGGACACCGCGGGGCCGCGGUUAAAAAAAACACAAAAAAAAUUAGGAGGAGGAGGGUGUGUGGAACUUUUUUUUUUUUCAUUUCGUGUUGGCGCCGCGAGGCAGCUGUGGCCGUGAGCGCCGUGCGGACGUGGAGAGACUAGGAGUGCGGUACGAGAGACAGAGAGAGAGAAAGGGGGGUUAUUAUGUGCCCUGGGACGACUUAGAGGGGAACCGCACCGACAUUCAUCUUGAGACUGGAAAUGACAUUAAAUUCGCCUGGAAGGUCAACCGGAAGACCCAGGGAAGCCUCACACAGUACAGCCAGUCAAACUCACCACCACCCAGGCCUCAGCACAACCUUGGCUACCCAAUAAGCAGACAGCUUUAACCACUCUGCUGGUUGUGUGAUACUAAUGGCGCUGAAAUGACAAAGAGUCCACGUUGGGGGUGCACACGGAAGAAAGGGAGCUGUGUGUGGUGGAGGGAAGUGAACAAACAGCAUAGAAUGCAGCAAGCUCAUCAUCUUCCAUUGCUGGAAAACAUGGCCACGAUAAAAAUGAACUAAGGCUUAACUUCUACAGCGGGCAGUACAACAGCUUACUGCAGACAUUGACGUGAGAGGUGGCAUAAGGUAGCGCUACUCCCAACAAGAAGAAAGGAAGGACCAGCAUCGAAAGACCGUAGAAAUACCAGCAUGUAGCAGAGAAAUGAAACCAUGCCCCCAGUCUAAAAGCAUCUACAUGUGACCAAUCAUUAAUCACUGCUGCAUGAAGAGGAAAGGGUAAUUCAAAGGGUAUGGAUGGAAACAGAGCACUUGGAAUUCAAUUGACAUUUAUUAUUCGAACCAGGCCUUCAUUAAAGCAUAUUUCCUUGCGUACGAUUACAUCACU